rnacentral:pre_miRNA from 1 species
ACUCCAGAGAGUGACAAUCAUGUAUUAUUUAAUAUGAUUGAAACCUCUGAGAGUGA